rnacentral:rRNA from 1 species
GACGAACGCUGGCGGCGUGCUUAACACAUGCAAGUCGAACGGAAAGGCCUGCUUUCCCUUGUGGAUUGCGGGUACUCGAGUGGCGAACGGGUGAGUAACACGUGAGUGAUCUGCCCCCAACUUGGGUAUAAGCCUGGGAAACUGGGUCUAAUUCCCGAUAGGACUGCAGGGUGGUGCCUGUGGUGGAACAUGAUUUUAUAGUGGUAGGGGAUGUGCUCGCGGCCUAUUAGCUUGUUGGUGGGGUACUGGCCUACCAAGCCCGCGACGGGUUGCCGGCCUGAGAGGGUGGACGGCGACAUUGAGACUGGGAUACGGCCCAGACUCCUACGGGAGGCAGCAGUGAGGAAUAUUGCACAAUGGGCGGAAGCCUGAUGCAGCGACGCCGCGUGGGGGAUGACGGGCUUCGGGUUGUAAACUCCUUUCGACCGAGAGGAAGCCACCUGGUUGGAAGGGUGGUGACGGUAGUGGUAGAAGAAGCACCGGCUAACUACGUG